rnacentral:rRNA from 1 species
GUACGGGAGGCAGCAGUGGGGAAUCUUGGACAAUGGGGGAAACCCUGAUCCAGCAAUGCCGCGUGGGUGAAGAAGGCCUUCGGGUUGUAAAGCCCUUUCGAUUGGGAAGAAAAGCUUGGCGCUAAUCAGCCAAGUCUUGACGUUACCAAGUGAAGAAGCACCGGCUAACUCUGUGCCAGCAGCCGCGGUAAUACAGAGGGUGCAAGCGUUAAUCGGAGUUACUGGGCGUAAAGGGCGCGUAGGCGGUUCGAUAAGUCGGGUGUGAAAGCCCCGGGCUUAACCUGGGAAUUGCAUUCGAGACUGUCGAGCUAGAGUAUGAUAGAGGAAAGCGGAAUUCCACAUGUAGCGGUGAAAUGCGUAGAUAUGUGGAGGAACAUCAGUGGCGAAGGCGGCUUUCUGGAUUAAUACUGACGCUGAGGCGCGAAAGCGUGGGGAGCAAACAGGAUUAGAUACCCUGGU